AUUGACUGCUUUCUUGGGAAUAGUGAGAUAAACUUACAGAUGCAUUUGCACGCGAGAUGUGAGAAUGUGCAAAGUAAUGGGUCUACUGAAGCUGAGUGCCUACCAUCCUCUUAACAACCCUUCCUACAAAGGGAAAACUAGAGACUGGGCAAUAGUUAUCCAAUGGUGUCAAGCCCAAAAAUCUUUUCUUGAGAAAUCAAACUUCAAGGCAGGCAACAGCACCCUUUCCACGAUGAGAGAUUAACCACCACUUGGAGCCAACUACGUGCUACUUCCUACAAGGUCUUGACCAGACAGAAGGAACAUGAAUCCAGGAUCCAGGUGGCCAGACUCACAGCCUGAAGAAUCUUAUCCAUUUCCUCAUCUCAUAUUCUUUGUCAAUUCUAAGACUAUUCUCAUUCUCUCUUCAAUUUCAUGUUCUGACUAUAAAUUUACCACAGAUGAUUAACGGAGCAAAGCUAAACACUUCUACGGCUCAGUGUGGUGGCACUUAUUUCCUGAAAAAGCACUACCAGAUUUCUGCCCCGAGAAACAUGAAAAUGUGACACAGAACCUGCAGCUCCUGAAAUUUUUGAGAAUAUCACCAGAAUCACCAUC